rnacentral:tRNA from 1 species
GCACCAUUAGCUCAGUUGGUAGAGCACCUGACUCUUAAUCAGGGCGUCCAGGGUUCGAGCCCCUGAUGGUGUACCA